rnacentral:tRNA from 12 species
GAUGGUUUAACUCCUUCCCUUACUA